AUUACUUUGGCAGAAUAGUGUAUUGAGUUUAGAAUUCAAAGAUGUAAAUUAUAUUUACAAGUAAUA
rnacentral:tRNA from 1 species